ensembl:lncRNA
GGGUGAUGGGCUGGAGGCUGCGAAGACAGGGUGGGUGUUGGUGGGUGUAUCGGGGCAGGGUGUGUGGACAGCAGCGGACAUCCUGGAUGAGCCAGAGACCCGGAGAUAGCGAGAGACACAGGAAAUGAGUGGACAGUGACCCCUUGCUUUCCUGCCUCUUACCAGGGGUGGCCCUGGAGCCUUCAGGUGGCUUCUUGGUUAACUGGGGUCUGGCCGCUGACGCUGUAGGGCUGCGAGAUGAGGCUGAGGAGGACAGCGUGUGGCUGCUCGUGGGCUGCAUACAGGUCUCAGGAUCCAAGUGUUGGGGACAUUAGUGUCUCCUUCCCAGGGGAUGGCAAGCCCCUCCAGCUCUAUCGUCUCCGGUGCCACUCAGCCCUGGGUGCCUGUCUGCCCACAGCAUCCAGCCAAGGAUCCCUAUCUGCCUGUGUGUCCCCAGCCCCAUGAAGGUCCCCUUUGCAAAUUCCCUUCUACCCUUUUCUAGAAAGUUCUGCAAGGGCUCCAGUGCUCUGGGGACGAGUGGUCAGCUCAGAGCCCAGAUGCCUGGGAUUCCCCAGUACUCAGCAUGUCAGACAUUCCUCCUGUCUCAAGUCCAGGUAGGUGUCCCUGCUCCCUCCAGCAGGCAUCAAGCAGGUGGCUAGCUGUCAGCAUUCACAUUCUCUGGCCAGGCGGUGAGUUUCUCUCUAUGAGUCCUCCCAGGAAUGCUCUCUGCAAGGGUGUCUGUUGCUUCCUGCCUUUCCAGGCCGCGUGGUACCUCCUUUCCAAAGCCUCUGACAGACCAAACUAGGAGCACAUGGGGCUCCUAGUCUCUCCCUGGCCCACCGGCCACUGGUGCUAGGAUAUAUUUAGUAUAUAAUGGACACAUUUCCAUUCAUUUCUGAGCCACAGGCAGGUGUGGGGCCCCUACCUGAGCCCCAAGCCCCUUGACACAGUGUGCAUUCCCAGCUGGGGAGAACAGGCUCUUCUAGCUGCUCUGACUUUGAGAGGCAUAUGUACAGGCAAAGUGUUUGGCUUCGUUCUCAGGCCUGGAGCCACAGAAUGGGAACACUGGGAACAAAGAAAAUACCUUCUGCUAUGUUCACAGUGACUUUUUCCUUAUUACCAAUGAUAUUUCUUUUUUAAGUAUCUGAGCUCAGGGCAGCAGGCUGGAAGUCCUUCAUGGUCCCCCAGGCACUGGCUGGCUGCAGAGCCCAGACGUGGUUAUUCAGCAGAGGGCGUGGGGCACAGUGGAUAAGGGCCCAGGCAGGCUUUGUGCUAUCUGUGGGCACAGGAAAGAAUUCAAGAGUUGAGAGUUCUCCUGAAACCAGGUGUGGUAGGUGCCUGUCUUCUGAGAAGGAAGGUGGAGAUAGGAGAAGUUCAAGGCCAUCCUCAGCUACAAUGUGAGUUCAAACCUAGCCUGGGCUACAUGAGACACUACUCAAAAACAGAGAUGGACACUCAGGAGGCAGAAGCAGGUGCAUCUCUGCUCAUUCAAGGCCUAGGCUACACAGAAAGUUCCAGACCUGCAAAGAGACCCUGUCUCAAAAAAAUAAAUAAAUAAACAGAAAACAAACAAGGGUUCCUCAUCUGAACCCAGUAUUGGCCUCUCAGCUGGGGCUAGAAUGGGGCUAGCCUGGAGCAAGCCAUGGUGUGGCUUCUUCCAUGUAGCAAGUCUUUCUUUUUCACCUGGACAAGACUAGGGGCUGGAGGGCCCUGACAGCACCUGCAGUCCUUCUGUCCCCUGAGUGAUAGUAAUUGGUGCAGGGGCCCCUAAGGACUUUCUUUCCAGGAUCUCAGAUGUCCUUGCUUGACCGAGUGUGGCUCCUGUCCCUGUGGCUGAGCAACAGUGAAGGAAUGAGUCUCCUGUGCACGGGAGGGACAGCAGAUGGCAGGGCACUUUGGAGAAGGGAGAGUCUCAGAUGGACCUGGGUUCAAAUCCUGUCUCCUAGGUGGCUCUCUGCAUGACCACCCAUGAUUUCUAAAAUUGUCACCUUGAGAGAUAGGAGCAGAAGGGGACACAGCACGUGCAAAGGUCCUGAGGUCGGGAUGAACGUUUUACUAGAAGAACAAUGUGGAGCUG